rnacentral:lncRNA from 1 species
AAAAGUUGCAGGUGUGCUGUGGGAAGAGGAUUAACUCGGCUGUGUACAGCCUUGUUUCUGUGGCGACCACAUGUGCUACUCUCCUUGGAAAUGCCUGGAUUUGGUUAGAUUUGCUGUGCUGGGUUUGUUGAAGUGUGAGCCUCCUGUAGAAAGGUCAGUGUGGUCUGUGUCUAUCCUUCUGUCUGUCUUUGACUUCUCUUUCUCUCUCUGCCUCUCUGCAUCUGUCUCUCUCUCCUGCCCUCCACCUCCCUCCCCCCACCACACGCACUUAUUUUAAAGAACAGUUUCCACCUCUUAGGAGAGACAUAAAGCCCCCUCUGCAAUGAAGAAGCUGCAUCUGAAAAGAGCCUGCUGGGUGCUCCGUGCUGCACCAGAGAAUUAAUUGAGUCCAAGUGGACAAAUAUUUGAGCUCAAUUAUGGGCUGAGGCGUUUUGGCAGAGUCAUUUGAGGAGCGAGCACAUGAGAUUCCCCUCCGAUGGUGCGUGACAGCUGGAGUGUGGUCAUCUGGGAGCUGGGGCCACCUCUGGGCAAAUCUGCUCGCUCCUUACCCAGGCUGUUCCACCCCAUGUCCACGCCAAGGCUCGGUUCCUGCCAAGUGGCCCUGUGCAUGCUUAUUCCACCAAUGAGCCUUCAUCCUCAAGUACGAGUCUACAUUCCUUGUGUCUGCUCGUCCUGGGCGUAGCUCUCUGCGGCACGCACUCUGUGACUUGAGAGCUCGGUGUCUGAGUGUGCCUGGGUGUGUGCGUGUCAUGCGCUAGUAUGUAACUGAAGGGCUCUGGCUUCAGCAGCCCUGCAACGUGGGUGUAAAGAUCUGUCCUUGGCCAAACUGCUUCCCUACAAACUGGGAUGGUCCCUCCAAACUUGGUGAGACUGGGGAGAGAGCCCGCAUGUUCCUAGGGCAGAAAUGAGGACCUUUAGGUCCUGCUUCCUUCUCCUCCAGGAAGGGAACUUCCUGCUAUCUUCAGCCCUCCAACCUCUUGUAGAAUCUGUCCCCUUGUCCCAAGGUAUCCAUGGGCUGCAGCCUAACAGCCUUAGCCUCUGGGGGCUGGGUGAUGGGGACCCACCCCCCACAAUGGCCCACUAUUCCCUCUAAGUCUUCCAGAAAGGCACACGAGAGCAGAGGCGCAGCAGCCCUUCUGUAGGACGAUGAAAGCCCCUCCCUCAUCACCCCUACUGCACCUCUUGCCUUCGCACCGGCAGGCUGGGUUCUUUGAUGAAGCCAGGGGCACAAAGGACUUUGUACGGGGCUCACAGAGGCAGACUGAGGGCCAAGACCCCUCUAACACAAGAGCCUGGGAAUCGGAAACUGGGAAGGCCCUUUCAGUGGCUCCCUUUCUCAGAAUAAGACCUCAGGACCAUGGAAAACAUUUGGGCCUCUCUUCUGGAGAAAGAAAGCUGUGUUGCUUCACCCACACAGUGACGGAUUUCGCCCUCCGCCUUGGAGGAGACACAAGAGGCGCAGAGCUAACUUUCAGAGUCUGUCUCCUUGGGGCCCCAGCCCGGUCAUCUAUCCCCUUGUCCCCUGAGGCUAAACUGUGGAGUGCGGGACCUUAGUUCUGAGAAAUCUGUGUCAUAUGCUUUCAUCUGGACACAGGUCCUUUCCUCCCUCCUUCCCAAGUCCAAGCCAGGCCUCUGGGGAAGCCUGAAGGGGACAGACUUUGUUUACCUUAGUCCCGUCCAGAGAAGCACCAUUAACAUUGUUGCGUAAAUGGGGUCUUUUAAGCAUCUCUAGAGGCAGAUCUUAUCCCUCAUCUCUCCUGGAAGUGCUGUGUUUUUGUUGUUUUUUAACCAUACUGCUAGACUCAAUCACUUGGAUUCUUAGGAGUCACUAACCUCCCUCUGAUCCAACGCAUCUAAAAUAAACCCAAGUGCAUUUCCAAAUCAUCCAAAGAGGGUUUGAAAGGCAGCUCUCCAGGUUCCCCACAUAGAUUUUGAUCCUGCAGAUCUGGCAGGGACUGGGAAUCUCCAAUCCCUCAGGUGCUGAGGGAUUCCUGUGUGAGUGGUCACCAGAUCCCACUGGGUGGGUCAUAUAAACUAUGUAAUCCUGAAAAAUCUCUUCAAAAACUGGCAUGAGCAUUAAAUGAUGCAGUAUGGAUUAAGCCCUUAGCAGGUACCUAGCAGCUAGUACUUAGAGGUGAGUCAUGUCAGAAGUUGCAUCGGUAACAUUACUGUCACAAUAUGAAGGAGGAGGGCCUUUGAUCACUUCCUCUCAGCCCUAGGUCACCCUAAUUGGAAAGUCCAUUCCCUCGUGCUCCUGGCUUUCCUUUAUUCUCUUCUGCUUCUAGAGGCUCCCUGGGAGUCUCCUGCUUCCUAAAGUAGUUUUGCUACCUGUUAUUUUUGACUGGGUCCCCUGUACCUCUCUCUGCUCCAUCUCUAAAAGGUUUAUCACAGCUGUAUCUUCAUUGAAGCCCUGCUAGAACACAGGUUGGCUCGCUGAUGACAUUUUUGUUAGGAACACGAGCUUGUGUAAUAUACACAGAACUAUGAGCCUAACAUCCCAGCCUCAUUCACAUGAGGCCAGGACUAUGCCCUUGACUUAAGCCAAGGACUAUGCCCUUGACUUAAGCCAAAAACCGAUUUUCAUAUUUCCUAGGCAUCUACUGCCAGGCUCCAAUCCCCAUGGCAUGCUGUGUAUGGCUAUGUCCACAGCUACCUAAAUUAGGAUGCAAAUAGGAAUAGCUUAAGAGACUUGUUGACACCCGCAAAUUCCAAAGCUGAGUAUAUGACAGCACCCUCUUGCCUCAAUCUGUCUAUUGGCUUCUAGGAGGAGUUACUGGUUUCUCCAUCUUAGGAAGGUGCCUGGCAGCUGCUGUGGGUAGUCCCACUGUCUAGGCUACAGCUGGUUGGGAAGGGCACUCUCUCACCUCCCAGCAGCUUCCACAUGUGGGUACUGAGUUGAUGGGGACCUUCAUACCUACACACCUCCCCUCAUUUAGUUCCUCCAUCCUUUGUUGCUGGCACCUGUGCUUUCUUUCACCGAAAUGCCAAUAUCAAUAUCCAGGUUUAGCCUCUCCAGUAGAAUGCUGUUUGCCCAUUUAGACCAACUCACUUUAGGGCAAGAGUUUUUCAGAGCUCAGACUAACUCUCUAGGAUGCUAUAUUGAAUUUGGAGACCAAAGAGUCAUAAGAGUAGGGCUGAUUCUCCUAGCUUUGCUCUCUUUGGUUAAAAGUCAUCCUCCUCCAUUUUCCAUCCUCCUACUAUUUCUGCCUUUCACAUUAUUCCAUUAUUGUCUUUACAGCCUUGUUACUAUCUUAAACCAUCAUGCUCUUGUAUUUGUGUACUUGUUUAAUGCUACUCUCCCCUCAUGGACCUGUGAGCUCCAUGAGAACUUUUACAUGCCUUUUUUUGGUCGUUUUACAACAUAGAACUGCACAGGAUACUUAGUCAUUCAUGUACUUAUUAAUUUGGAAAAAGUAAAUAGAUGGAGCAAGAAACCAGGGUUAGACAUCUAUGAAUUCCCUGGCCAAACGUCAUGUUUAAUAUCUUCACUAAUAUCCCAAUAUCCGUUUCCUACAGCAAUUUCAUGCAAACAACAGCCCUGAAUGAGCUGUGAGGAUACCAGAGUCUUCCCAGGUAGAUGCACCAACUUCACCCUAACUGAAAGAACAGUGUAUUCAGGGCGCAGCGGGUGUGAUUGGAGGAACACCAAGAAAUAUAUCUGAUCCUCAGACUAACUUCCCAGCCUUUCUGGAAAGGGGAAAUCCUAUCAACUCAAAGUGAGAGAAAACUUUAUCAGGAAGAAAUUUUAUAGACUUGAAUUUCCCCAGAGGGACAGGAGAUGGAGGAGCGAUUGAGAGUGGGAUAUCUUGGAGAGCCAGAUUUUCAAAGCUUGUGGAUGGAAGAGGAGAGGGCAGUGUGUUACAUGGCAGAGGUUGGAAAAGAGCCCCCAACGUCCGGAGGUGUCCCUGCACUUCACAUGCAGUCUGUGUGACAGAAAGGUCCCUUGCGCGAGCUCGCUGCCUGAAGUCUGCAUUUACAUUCCAGGCAAGCAAGAGGCCCAGAAUCAGACCCUGGCUUGGGUCCAGAAACCAGUUUGGGCACAGGCUCUGACUGUGGGAAGUGGGGCAAAGGGGAAUCUUGGAUAUUGGCCUGGAGAACCCAAGGGAUGGUGUUGGGCUAUGUUCCAGGGAUGGGCGAGGGCGUAGGAACUACCUCCACACUGAAGGGUCAGCAGUGGAGGUGUGGGCUCCAUUCUAAGAGAUGGCCCCGGGUGGGUGAACAGGGAGGAGGUGAUCCCCAGGCCUGGGAUGGAAGGGUCAGUUUAUGGGGCGCCUGUGGCUUCGCCUGUGGGUGAAGAGGGAGCUGUUAAAAGCACUGAGCUGAUUCGGACAAAUAAAGAUUUCUUUCUG